AGAGUUUGAUCCUGGCUCAGAACGAACGCUGGCGGCAGGCUUAACACAUGCAAGUCGAGCGCGUGGCAACACGAGCGGCAGACGGGUGAGUAACGCGUGGGAAUCUACCGGACCCUACGGAAUAACGCAUGGAAACGUGUGCUAAUACCGUAUACGCCCUACGGGGGAAAGAUUUAUCGGGGUUUGAUGAGCCCGCGUUGGAUUAGCUAGUUGGUGGGGUAAAGGCCUACCAAGGCGACGAUCCAUAGCUGGUCUGAGAGGAUGAUCAGCCACAUUGGGACUGAGACACGGCCCAAACUCCUACGGGAGGCAGCAGUGGGGAAUAUUGGACAAUGGGCGCAAGCCUGAUCCAGCCAUGCCGCGUGAGUGAUGAAGGCCCUAGGGUUGUAAAGCUCUUUCACCGGAGAAGAUAAUGACGGUAUCCGGAGAAGAAGCCCCGGCUAACUUCGUGCCAGCAGCCGCGGUAAUACGAAGGGGGCUAGCGUUGUUCGGAAUUACUGGGCGUAAAGCGCACGUAGGCGGACAUUUAAGUCAGGGGUGAAAUCCCGGAGCUCAACUCCGGAACUGCCUUUGAUACUGGGUGUCUUGAGUGUGGAAGAGGUGAGUGGAAUUCCGAGUGUAGAGGUGAAAUUCGUAGAUAUUCGGAGGAACACCAGUGGCGAAGGCGGCUCACUGGUCCAUUACUGACGCUGAGGUGCGAAAGCGUGGGGAGCAAACAGGAUUAGAUACCCUAGUAGUCC
rnacentral:rRNA from 1 species